GAUGAACGCUGGCGGCGUGCCUAAUACAUGCAAGUCGAGCGGACAGACGAGGACUUUCCCCCUCUCACUUUAGCGGCGGCCGGGUGAUAAACCCGUGGCUAACCUCCCUUUAGGCUUGGGAAACUCUGGGGAAACCGGAGCUAAUACCGGAAACUCUAUUCCACCCCAUAGGUCAAUCGUGAAAGUGGGAUCUCGUGUUCCCUUUCGAUUGAUCCGGCCCGCAUUUGCUAGUUGGUUAGGUAAAGGCUUACCAAGGCAACCAUGCGUAGCCGACCUGAGAGGGUGAUCGGCCACACGGGAACUGAGACACGGCCCAGACUCCUACGGGAGGCAGCAGUAGGGAAUCUUCCGCAAUGGGCGAAAGCCUGACGGAGCAACGCCGCGUGAGUGAUGAAGGUCUUCGGAUCGUAAAACUCUGUUAUUAGGGAAGAACAAAUGUGUAAGUAACUAUGCACGUCUUGACGGUACCUAAUCAGAAAGCCACGGCUAACUACGUG
rnacentral:rRNA from 1 species